GCAGCAGUGGGGAAUAUUGGGCAAUGGACGCAAGUCUGACCCAGCGACGCCGCGUGCGGGAUGAAGGCCUUCGGGUUGUAAACCGCUUUCAGCAGGGAAGAAGCGAAAGUGACGGUACCUGCAAAAGAAGCACCGGCUAACUAUGUGCCAGCAGCCGCGGUAAUACAUAGGGUGCAAGCGUUGUCCGGAAUUAUUGGGCGUAAAGAGUUCGUAGGUGGUUCGUUACGUCGGAUGUGAAAAUCUGGGGCUCAACCCCAGACCUGCAUUCGAUACGGGCGAGCUAGAGUUUGGUAGGGGAGACUGGAAUUCCUGGUGUAGCGGUGGAAUGCGCAGAUAUCAGGAGGAACACCAAUGGCGAAGGCAGGUCUCUGGGCCAAUACUGACACUGAGGAACGAAAGCGUGGGGAGCGAACAGGAUUAGAUACCCUGGUAGUCCGG
rnacentral:rRNA from 1 species